CCAGGACUCACUCCUCUGCUCCCUUCCUAUUGGGCACGGACCCCUGGUCCCGCCCCUUCCAGGCUAAUAAGUACCUACAGGGGUGGAGACAGGAUGGCAACGUGAUGUUGUUAUUGUUGUUUUCUGCAAAGAAGGGUUGUGGAAAAACAAGAUGGAGAAGGUGAGAAAAUGAAAGUGGAAGAUCUGGAAUAUCUGGGUCAAUGGAUAAAGAUGGAAGGAUAGAGAAAGGCUUUCUAAUCCUCCCCAACUUUCCAUGUGGUACCCUCCCCGCAACUUCCAGAAUUAUUUAACACCGUGAGAGUCGCAUCCAACAAAUAUUUGUUGCUCAUUGAUCAUGUAAAAAAUCUCUAUUUACUCUAAAUUUAUUAAGAUGUUUAUCUAGACGUAUUAAGUUUUGAGAGUGGUUCAAAAAUAAAUAUAAUAUUUUCUUGCAGU
rnacentral:lncRNA from 1 species